rnacentral:rRNA from 1 species
AUUGAACGCUGGCGGCAGGCCUAACACAUGCAAGUCGAGCGGAUGAAGGGAGCUUGCUCCUGGAUUCAGCGGCGGACGGGUGAGUAAUGCCUAGGAAUCUGCCUGGUAGUGGGGGAUAACGUCCGGACACGGGCGCUAAUACCGCAUACGUCCUGAGGGUGAAAGUGGGGGUUCUUCGGACCUCACGCUUUCUGAUGACCCUAGGACGGAUUAGCUAGUUGGUGGGGUAAAGGCCUACCAAGGCGACGAUCCGUAACUGGCCUGAGAGGAUGAUCGGUCACACUGGAACUGAGACACGGUCCAGACUCCUACGGGAGGCAGCAGUGGGGAAUAUUGGACAAUGGGCGAAAGCCUGAUCCAGCCAUGCCGCGUGUGUGAAGAAGGUCUUCGGAUUGUAAAGCACUGUAAGUUGGGAGGAAGAGCAGUAAGUUAAUACCUUGCUAUUUUGACGUUACCUACACAAUAAGCACCGGCUAACUUCGUG